rnacentral:rRNA from 1 species
CAGUCGCCGCGGUAAUACGGAGGGGGCUAGCGUUGUUCGGAAUUACUGGGCGUAAAGCGCACGUAGGCGGCUCAGCAAGUCAGGGGUGAAAUCCCGGGGCUCAACCCCGGAACUGCCCUUGAAACUGCUAGGCUAGAAUCUUGGAGAGGCGAGUGGAAUUCCGAGUGUAGAGGUGAAAUUCGUAGAUAUUCGGAAGAACACCAGUGGCGAAGGCGACUCGCUGGACAAGUAUUGACGCUGAGGUGCGAAAGCGUGGGGAGCAAACAGGAUUAGAUACCCGAGUAGUCCUGUCUCUUAUACA